rnacentral:rRNA from 1 species
GCGUGAGUGAUGAAGGCCCUAGGGUUGUAAAGCUCUUUUACCAGGGAUGAUAAUGACAGUACCUGGAGAAUAAGCUCCGGCUAACUCCGUGCCAGCAGCCGCGGUAAUACGGAGGGAGCUAGCGUUGUUCGGAAUUACUGGGCGUAAAGCGUACGUAGGCGGUUACUCAAGUCAGAGGUGAAAGCCCGGGGCUCAACCCCGGAACUGCCUUUGAAACUAGAUAGCUAGAAUUAUGGAGAGGUUAGUGGAAUUCCGAGUGUAGAGGUGAAAUUCGU